rnacentral:rRNA from 1 species
ACGUACACUCCUGCGGGAGGCAGCAGUGGGGAAUAUUGGACAAUGGGCGCAAGCCUGAUCCAGCCAUGCCGCGUGAGUGAUGAAGGCCCUAGGGUUGUACAGCUCUUUCACCGGUGAAGAUAAUGACGGUAACCGGAGAAGAAGCCCCGGCUAACUUCGUGCCAGCAGCCGCGGUAAUACGAAGGGGGCUAGCGUUGUUCGGAUUUACUGGGCGUAAAGCGCACGUAGGCGGACUAUUAAGUCAGGGGUGAAAUCCCGGGGCUCAACCCCGGAACUGCCUUUGAUACUGGUAGUCUUGAGUUCGAGAGAGGUGAGUGGAAUUCCGAGUGUAGAGGUGAAAUUCGUAGAUAUUCGGAGGAACACCAGUGGCGAAGGCGGCUCACUGGCUCGAUACUGACGCUGAGGUGCGAAAGCGUGGGGAGCAAACAGGAUUAGAUACCCCAGUAGUCCCAUGAU